UACGUAGGCAGCAAGCGUUGUUCGGAGUUACUGGGCGUAAAGGGUGUGUAGGCGGUUGUUUUAAGUUUGGUGUGAAAUCUCCCGGCUCAACUGGGAGGGUGCGCCGAAUACUGAAUGACUUCGAGUGCGGGAGAGGAUAGUGGAAUUCCUGGUGUAGCGGUGAAAUGCGUAGAUAUCAGGAGGAACACCGGUGGUGUAGACGGCUAUCUGGACCGUAACUGACGCUGAGACACGAAAGCGUGGGUAGCAAACAGG
rnacentral:rRNA from 1 species